CAGUCGCCACGGUAAAACGUAGGUGGCAAGCGUUGUCCGGAAUUAUUGGGCGUAAAGGGCUCGCAGGCGGUUUCUUAAGUCUGAUGUGAAAGCCCCCGGCUCAACCGGGGAGGGUCAUUGGAAACUGGGGAACUUGAGUGCAGAAGAGGAGAGUGGAAUUCCACGUGUAGCGGUGAAAUGCGUAGAGAUGUGGAGGAACACCAGUGGCGAAGGCGACUCUCUGGUCUGUAACUGACGCUGAGGAGCGAAAGCGUGGGGAGCGAACAGGAUUAGAUACCCCCGUAGUCCCUGUCUCUUAUAC
rnacentral:rRNA from 1 species